rnacentral:rRNA from 1 species
GGCUCAGGACGAACGCUGGCGGCGUGCCUAAUACAUGCAAGUCGAACGAACGGAUAAAGAGCUUGCUCUUUUGAAGUUAGUGGCGACGGGUGAGUAACACGUGGGUAACCUGCCUCACAGCUGGGGAUAACAUCGAGAAAUCGAUGCUAAUACCGAAUGUGCUGAACAUCAUAAGAUGUUCAAGUGAAAGACGGUUUCGGCUGUCACUGUGAGAUGGACCCGCGCUGGAUUAGCUAGUUGGUAAGGUAAUGGCUUACCAAGGCGACGAUCCAUAGCCGACCUGAGAGGGUGAUCGGCCACAUUGGGACUGAGACACGGCCCAAACUCCUACGGGAGACAGCAGUAGGGAAUCUUCGGCAAUGGACGAAAGUCUGACCGAGCAACGCCGCGUGAGCGAAGAAGGCCUUCGGGUCGUAAAGCUCUGUUGUUAGAGAAGAACAUGGGUGAGAGUAACUGUUCACCCCUUGACGGUAUCUAACCAGAAAGCCACGGCUAACUACGUG